rnacentral:rRNA from 2 species
GCUGGCGGCGUGCUUAACACAUGCAAGUCGAACGGGAUUUAGUAGACAGAAGCUUAGGUGGAAGAUUACUAAUGAGAGUGGCGAACGGGUGAGUAACGCGUGAGCAACCUGCCUAUGACAGUGGGAUAGCCUCGGGAAACCGGGAUUAAUACCGCAUAAAAUCGUAGAAACACAUGUUUUAACGGUCAAAGAUUUAUCGGUCAUAGAUGGGCUCGCGUCUGAUUAGCUAGUUGGUGAGAUAACAGCCCACCAAGGCGACGAUCAGUAGCCGGUCUGAGAGGAUGAACGGCCACAUUGGAACUGAGACACGGUCCAAACUCCUACGGGAGGCAGCAGUGGGGAAUAUUGCACAAUGGGGGAAACCCUGAUGCAGCGACGCCGCGUGAACGGAGAAGGUAUUCGUAUCGUAAAGUUCUGUCCUAUGGGAAGAUAAUGACAGUACCAUAGAAGAAAGCUCCGGCUAAAUACGUGCCAGCAGCCGCGGUAAUACGUAUGGAGCGAGCGUUGUCCGGAAUUAUUGGGCGUAAAGGGUACGCAGGCGGUUUAAUAAGUCGAAUGUUAAAGAUCGGGGCUCAACCCCGUAAAGCAUUGGAAACUGAUAAACUUGAGUAGUGGAGAGGAAAGUGGAAUUCCUAGUGUAGUGGUGAAAUACGUAGAUAUUAGGAGGAAUACCAGUAGCGAAGGCG